rnacentral:rRNA from 1 species
GACGAACGCUGGCGGCGUGCUUAACACAUGCAAGUCGAACGGAAAGGCCCCUUUGGGGGUACUCGAGUGGCGAACGGGUGAGUAACACGUGAGUAACCUGCCCUUGACUUCGGGAUAACUUCAGGAAACUGGGGCUAAUACCGGAUAGGAAUACUUGCUGCAUGGUGGGGGUUGGAAAGCUUCGGCGGUUUUGGAUGGACUCGCGGCUUAUCAGCUUGUUGGUGGGGUAGUGGCUUACCAAGGCUUUGACGGGUAGCCGGCCUGAGAGGGCGACCGGCCACAUUGGGACUGGGAUACGGCCCAGACUCCUACGGGAGGCAGCAGUGGGGAAUAUUGCACAAUGGGCGUAAGCCUGAUGCAGCUACGCCGCGUGCGGGAUGACGGCCUUCGGGUUGUAAACCGCUUUCAGCAGGGGCGAAGCUUGUGGUGACGGUACCUGCAGAAGAAGCACCGGCUAACUACGUG